rnacentral:rRNA from 1 species
GACGAACGCUGGCGGCAGGCCUAACACAUGCAAGUCGAGCGAGCAUUUCGGUGCUAGCGGCGGACGGGUGAGUAACGCGUGGGAACGUGCCCUUUUCUGCGGAAUAGUCCUGGGAAACUGGGGGUAAUACCGCAUACGCCCUUUUGGGGAAAGAUUUAUCGGAGAAGGAUCGGCCCGCGUUGGAUUAGGUAGUUGGUGGGGUAAUGGCCCACCAAGCCGACGAUCCAUAGCUGGUUUGAGAGGAUGAUCAGCCACACUGGGACUGAGACACGGCCCAGACUCCUACGGGAGGCAGCAGUGGGGAAUCUUAGACAAUGGGGGCAACCCUGAUCUAGCCAUGCCGCGUGAGUGAUGAAGGCCUUAGGGUUGUAAAGCUCUUUCGGCUGGGAAGAUAAUGACGGUACCAGCAGAAGAAGCCCCGGCUAACUCCGUG